AGACAUCCACAUCAGGUCAAUGGCAAGUCCUCACUGUUUAAUCCCUCCAUGAGGACUCUAGGAGCACAAGCGGCGCACCACUUAGGGACAAAACUCUUAACCUCCUCGACCGAAGAGAACGGUCAAUGUCAACUACAGAAGAGACUAAAUAUGACUUAGGCUCGGGUGCUAAGGGCUCCAAAAAGGAACAGACAUUGCACUAUGUAGGCCCAGGCUGCAGACCCUGCCGCUCUGCCGGGAGGCUCCAGCACUCACUCUUGUCUAGAGGCCGAGUGAGCUCCGCGCCCACGUCGCCAUCGGCGCUGGGACCCUGAGGCUUCACCGUCAGCGGCACGAACAAGGACGUGUUCGGGGCUUUGGAGCCACCAGAGGCAGAGGAGGAGGCGGCCAAGCAGGGAACGCGUCCUGAAGCCCCCGGGAACGACCCCACGAGAGCGCGAAGGGCGGAGCAAGGGGCCGCCCGGGGCCCAGCCCCGCGCCCCGCCGGGAGCCGAGCCCACAGCAAGGUACACCGAGGCAAGGACAUUGAGGCCGCGGCUCGAAUGGAGCCGGGGAAAAUCCGGACCACUGGCGCCGCUCGGUGACGUAGCUCCGGCGCCCGCGGAGCGAAAGGACCCAGAGAGACACAGGGCUGCCCCCGCGUGCGCCUGAAGGAAAAGGAGAUGGAAGGGUUGGGAGCGCGCCUCUUCGUGGGAGCACGACCUCUGUACGUUACAGUGGCAGAAACGAGCUCCCAUCCUCUCACUCUUUCUGCGGCAAUUGGCAGCGUCUUUCUCGAAAGAAGGGAAAGUAAUCAGGCAUCUUAAGGGAUGUUACAGAUGCGCGGAAGGGAACCGUACAAGCGUCGUCAUGUGACCAAACUGUCUAUCCUGCAUCAUGUGGCUUCAAACGCUAAAGUGCAUUUCCAAGAAGAUUGGUGCAUUAAUAUCCGUAGUUUCCUGAUAGGAUAACGUUAGAGGACGUAGCUUGAUCUGCUACAGAUCAAGACGGGUUGCAGAGAAAUCCGGUUGUACGAUAACUGGCGCUUACGUGACACGUGUGUCAAUACACGUGCUUCUCUCCUUGGUGCUAGGGCUCCAUGUAGGGGCCAUGAGCAAGCUAGGCAUGUGCUCCACCAUGAGCUGCAGAAUUCAGUUAACGUGAGCAGUUUGUACUCCUCGCAUCUCGAAAGUUAUAACCACAAAGUAUGCUCUGUGUACCUGGUUAAAGUUUGAUCUUACUCCUAUCUACUACAGCACUCGGUCCCACCCGAGUUGUAAGGAAAGAGGUGCCUCUGUUCGUUCCGUCUGGGCGUGACCAUUCAGUUCUUGGCCGGCCAAACACUAGGAGGGAAGCCAUGUGUGGCGACGUUCCCUCAGUCCUCUGCCGAGAGGUCCCCAACACCAUCUAGUUUCUGAGUUCAGGAGCCGUUCGGUUUUUAGAAAAUUGGACCCAGUAACAACUUCGUUCGUUCGGUGUCUGGUGGUCCUCAUUCCAACCCGCGCCAUCGGUCAAUCCUCUGUCUCUAUCCCUUCUUGACAAGUUUUCUGAUUUCAGAAAAUGAGUUGCGGGAUAUGGCUUCGGAGUCAAAGCUCUAAAACCAUCUGGUGCUAAGUCAAAACCCUCAAAGUUCGGACCCUGAACUCGAAUGGCCUUCCUUCUCUGAAAUUGAUCGAGGGUCUUUCGAUCUCAACUGCACUUAUUCUAUCCGCAGAGUCUGCAGUAAUAAUAUGGGUAGGCCUCCUUGAGAACCCUCCUUGGUGAGAGGCUCAUGGGUUUGGUUCAUUUGGCAAACGAACAAGGUCAGGUUUAUUGGUGCAGCUCUUGGACCAAGGACCCAUGAUGGACGAUUCUUAAGAGUCCUGAGCAAGGGGAAAGGUUGUGUGUCAGACAAGAGCUGGCUUUUUUUUCCCCAUGUAAGGUCAUGACUCAAGUGCCUGGUGAUCAUUCAGGAGAAGGGCUGUGGCUACCUGGAACUCGGUUUCGGCACCAUCGGUGGGGGUGGGGCUGUAGCGAGCUGGAGCCUAACACCUGGGUUAAGACUUUGUCCUUGGGCUGGAGAGAUGAUGGUUCCGUGGUUAAGAGCACUAGCUGCUCUUGUAGAGACUUGGGCUCCCAACUGUCUGUAUCUUCUGUACCCCCUCACACAGACAUGCAGUCAAAGCACCAAUGUAUAUAAAAUUUAAAAAUUAAAUUAAAAAAAAUGUUGAGCUGG
rnacentral:lncRNA from 1 species